rnacentral:rRNA from 1 species
UGGGGGAUAUUGCACAAUGGGCGAAAGCCUGAUGCAGUGACGCCGCGUGGGGGAUGAAGGCCUUCGGGUUGUAAACUUCUUUUGCUCUGAACAAGGCAUGCUUUUGGGGUGUGUUGAGUGUAGGGGUUGAUUAGCGCCGGCUAACUACGUGCCAGCAGCCGCGGUAAUACGUAGGGCGCGAGCGUUGUCCGGAAUUAUUGGGCGUAAAGGGCUUGUAGGUGGCUGGUUGCGUCUGUCGUGAAAGCUCAUGGCUUAACUGUGGGUUUGCGGUGGGUACGGGCUGGCUUGAGUGCAGUAGGGGAGGCUGGAAUUCCUGGUGUAGCGGUGGAAUGCGCAGAUAUCAGGAGGAAUACCGGUGGCGAAGGCGGGUCUCUGGGCUGUUACUGACGCUGAGGAGCGAAAGCGUGGGGAGCGAACAGG